UACGUAGGGUGCGAGCGUUAAUCGGAAUUACUGGGCGUAAAGCGUGCGCAGGCGGUUCGUUAAGUCAGCUGUGAAAUCCCCGGGCUUAACCUGGGAAUGGCAUUGGUGACUGCACGGCUAGAGUGUGUCAGAGGGGGGUAGAAUUCCACGUGUAGCAGUGAAAUGCGUAGAGAUGUGGAGGAAUACCGAUGGCGAAGGCAGCCCCCCCUGGGAUAACACUGACGCUCAUGCACGAAAGCGUGGGGAGCAAACAGG
rnacentral:rRNA from 1 species